rnacentral:rRNA from 1 species
UACGUAGGGUGCAAGCGUUUGUCCGGAAUUAUUGGGCGUAAAGAGCUCGUAGGCGGUCUGUCGCGUCGAAUGUGAAAAUCCGGGGCUCAACCCCGGACCUGCAUUCGAUACGGGCAGACUAGAGUGCGGUAGGGAGACUGGAAUUCCUGGUGUAGCGGUGAAAUGCGCAGAUAUCAGGAGGAACACCGGUGGCGAAGGCGGGUCUCUGGGCCGUAACUGACGC